UAAAGCGUUCGUAGGCGGUUUGUUAAGUCUGGAGUUAAAGACUGGGGCUCAACCCCAGCCCGCUCUGGAUACUGGCUGACUAGAGUUACAUAGAGGUAAGUGGAAUUCUUAGUGGAGCGGUGGAAUGCGUAGAUAUUAGGAAGAACACCAAUGGCGAAGGCAGCUUACUGGAUGUACACUGACGCUCAGGGACGAAAGCGUGGGGAGCAAACAGGAUUAGAUACCCUGGUAGUCCACGCCGUAAACGAUGAUCAUUAGCCGCUAGAAUAUUUAGUGGCGCAGCUAACGCAUUAAAUGAUCCGCCUGAGUAGUAUGCUCGCAAGAGUGAAACUUAAAGGAAUUGACGGGGACCCGCACAAGCGGUGGAGCAUGUGGUUUAAUUUGAAGAUACGCGUAGAACCUUACCCACUCUUGACAUCUUCCGCAAUACUAUGGAGACAUAGUGGAGGUUAACGGAAUGACAGAUGGUGCAUGGUUGUCGUCAGCUCGUGCCGUGAGGUGUUAGGUUAAGUCCUGCAACGAGCGCAACCCCUGUCUUUAGUUACUAACGGAUAAUGCCGAGGACUCUAGAGAGACUGACUGGGUAACCAGUAGGAAGGUGGGGACGACGUCAAAUCAUCAUGCCUCUUACGAGUGGGGCAACACACGUGCUACAAUGGACGGUACAAAGAGAAGCAAUAUGGUGACAUGGAGCAAACCUCAAAAAACCGUUCUCAGUUCGGAUUGAAGUCUGAAACUCGACUUCAUGAAGUUGGAAUCGCUAGUAAUCGUAGAUCAGCUACGCUACGGUGAAUACGUUCUCGGGUCUUGUACACACCGCCCGUC
rnacentral:rRNA from 1 species